CAGUCGCCGCGGUAAUACGAAGGGGGCUAGCGUUGUUCGGAAUUACUGGGCGUAAAGCGCACGUAGGCGGACAUUUAAGUCAGGGGUGAAAUCCCGGGGCUCAACCCCGGAACUGCCUUUGAUACUGGGUGUCUAGAGUAUGGAAGAGGUGAGUGGAAUUCCGAGUGUAGAGGUGAAAUUCGUAGAUAUUCGGAGGAACACCAGUGGCGAAGGCGGCUCACUGGUCCAUUACUGACGCUGAGGUGCGAAAGCGUGGGGAGCAAACAGGAUUAGAUACCCCUGUAGUCCCUGUCUCUUAUAA
rnacentral:rRNA from 1 species